GUACUAACGGAACUUAACCCUUCGUUUUACGACUUGGGUAGGCGGUUAGUGGUCGGACUAGGUGAGUAACACGUAAGCAACCUGCCUAUUAGAGGGGAAGUAACAGUAGAGAAAUCAUUGCUAAUACCGCAUAUGCUCACAGUAUCACAUGAUACAGUGAGGAAAGGAGCAAUCCACUAAUAGAUGGGCUUGCGUCUGAUUAGCUAGUUGGUGGGGUAACGGCCUACCAAGGCGACGAUCAGUAGCCGGACUGAGAGGUUGAACGGCCACAUUGGGACUGAGAUACGGCCCAGACUCCUACGGGAGGCAGCAGUCGGGAAUAUUGCGCAAUGGAGGAAACUCUGACGCAGUGACGCCGCGUAUAGGAAGAAGGUUUUCGGAUUGUAAACUAUUGUCGUUAGGGAAGAUAAAAGACAGUACCUAAGGAGGAAGCUCCGGCUAACUAUGCG
rnacentral:rRNA from 1 species